rnacentral:rRNA from 1 species
UAGGGAAUCUUCCACAAUGGACGCAAGUCUGACGGAGCAACGCCGCGUGAGUGAAGAAGGUCUUCGGAUCGUAAAGCUCUGUUGUUGGUGAAGAAGGAUAGAGGCAGUAACUGGUCUUUAUUUGACGGUAAUCAACCAGAAAGUCACGGCUAACUACGUGCCAGCAGCCGCGGUAAUACGUAGGUGGCAAGCGUUGUCCGGAUUUAUUGGGCGUAAAGCGAGCGCAGGCGGAAUGAUAAGUCUGAUGUGAAAGCCCACGGCUCAACCUGGAACUGCAUCGGAAACUGUCAUUCUUGAGUGCAGAAGAGGAGAGUGGAACUCCAUGUGUAGCGGUGGAAUGCGUAGAUAUAUGGAAGAACACCAGUGGCGAAGGCGGCUCUCUGGUCUGCAACUGACGCUGAGGCUCGAAAGCAUGGGUAGCGAACAGGAUUAGAUACCCUGGUAGUCCAUGCCGUAAACGAUGAGCGCUAGGUGUUGGGGACUUUCCGGUCCUCAGUGCCGCAGCAAACGCAUUAAGCGCUCCGCCUGGGGAGUACGACCGCAAGGUUGAAAC